CCCACCUUGUUUAUUUUUUUUAUGUUUUCUGAUCUCUCUCUUCCUUCUUCUUCGUCUUUCUCCCCCGUAACUCUCCCUUAGCUCUCUCCUUGUCAGCUCUCCCGUCUCUCUCUCCCUCAACCUCUCGCAUCUCUCUCUUCCCCUGGACUCACUAGGACCGAGUCACCAUCGAAGAGAGGCUCGCAACGAACCCCGGACCCUGCCCUGCGAGUUCGACGGCACGGAGUAAGCUCCGGCGAGCACCGCCCCUUUCGAGGCCAUUUCCGGCCAAACCACGGCGAGUUGGCCGGCGUGUAAGGUAUCAAUCUCUUCGUCUCCUUGAGUACUACAACUUUCCUUUUUGUUUCACUCAAUUUCGUUGAAUAUUGAAGAAGUUAUACUCAUUUGAAUCUUACCCAGUUUCCGGCGAGUCCGACGGCUUUCGAGGCAUUUUCCGGCCAAACCACGGCGAGUUAGACGUCGUGUGAGGUACCAUUCUCUUCGUCUCUUCAAGGGCUACAACUUUCAUUGUUGUCUUGCUUGAUUUCGUUGAGUAUUGACAAAGUUAUGGCCAUUUAAAGUUGGGUGGUUUUCCGGCCGAAAUUCCGGCCUUCUCCUUCAACAAACCCAGGCCAUCCGGCCUUUCCCUCUCCCUCGGGCCUUAGGCCCGUGUUGCCUUAGCCCAGUACCCUAACCCAUUCAGUUUUUAUUUUUAGUUAUAUGUUUUUAAAACCCAAAGGGCUCGGGCCCUAGUUUUGGUUGGCCUUGGGCCGGUUUUCAACCAAGGGCUUAAAGCCCUGAUUUCUGUUAGGAGGCCUUAGGGCCUUGUGUAGUGUGUGUGUGUGUGUGUAUGUUUAUAGUAUAUGUAUGUGUUUGGGCUUAAACCCAAACCCCUUUCCUAACCCUAAACCAUUUUAACCCAAAACCUUAGAAAUCCAAACCACCCAUUUUCACCAUAAACCCUUUUAACCUUAGAACCCUAAAAUCAAAACCCAAUAAAUCCUAAUCCUAUUUAACCUAAACCCUAAUCCGGAUUUCAAGCCUAAAACCCGUUAGACCUAAUUUGACCGUUGACAUCCGGUCAACAUUGACUUUAGAGUUGACUUUUCGGGUUUUCGUCCGGGACCCUUCUUAGGGUAAUUCGACGUUCUGAAUCCGUUUCCAACGUCCGUUUUCCCAAAUUCAAUUUCUAUUAUAUAGUUUUAUUAAUUGGACCCUUUAUGUGCUUAGGGGCAAUUAUUGUGACGUUUUCGUCUUCGCUAGUGGCGCAGCUUUUGACAGCGAAGUACUGUGAGUGGACCCAGGGGCGGAUCCACAGUGGGGUCGUCGGGGUCGCACGACCCCUUGGAAACCAUGGAAACAACCUUGAAGCUCCCAUAUGCGACCUCUUGGAGCUGGGGUCGUCAGGGUCGUCGUCAGGAAGAGGAAGAAGAAGACUCGGCAGCGGCAGGAAGAGGAAGAAGAAGCAGCAAGAGCUUGUGACAAUAAACACAACUAGUUGAAGUUGAUGAGCAACAAGAGCUACUGCAACGGUUGUGUUUAUUGUCAUUUUCUUUUUUCUUUUUAUUCCAGGUUGUCAGCCUGCUCUUUGCAUGGUCUUGGCUCUUGGUAGGAGUUUUGAUCACAAAUCAAGAGAUGAGUCGGACAACAAAUGAGAGUGAAGAUGGAGUGCUGUCCAAGGAUCAGAUUGAUUCUCCGUUGAUGGAUGAGAGUAAUGGAGGAAGUGGAAAUGGUGGAAUGGUUCUAAAGAAAGGGACAUGGACCUCGGCUGAAGAUGCAAUUUUGGUGGAGUAUGUUAAGAAGCAUGGGGAGGGAAACUGGAAUGCCGUUCAGAAGCACUCAGGCCUGUUCCGUUGUGGCAAAAGCUGCCGGUUGCGAUGGGCAAAUCACCUAAGGCCGAACCUGAAGAAAGGGGCAUUGACUCUUGAAGAAGAACGUCUCAUUGUUGAACUCCAUGCCAAGAUGGGGAACAAAUGGGCACGCAUGGCUGCACACGUAGUGAUUUCUAUUCGUUAUGUGUGUUCCAGUAGUGAUUUCUCUCAAUUGGAAGGGAUUGAUGAUCUUGCAAAAAAAAUGGUGGAGACAAGGAUGCAUCAAGUAUUCAAUUAUGUAUAUUUGCUCAUUACAUUGUCUUUAGUUUUACCAGUUGCAACUGCUUCAGUGGAGAGAGCAUUUUCUGUCAUGAAUAUUGUUAAGGGUCCACUUAGGAACAAAAUGGGAGAUCAAUGGUUGAGUGAUAGCUUGCUUGUUUAUAUUGAGAGAGAUAUUUUUGCUUGUAUUGAAAAUGAAGCUAUAAUACUUCGUUUUCAAAAUAUGAAAUCUCGUCGUGGACAAUUAUAGUUUGUAAUAUUGUUUCCGUUAUGAAUUAUGAAUGAAAGUACUAUGAUUUCAUUGCCAAUAUGUUUUUCCAUCCUAAAUUUUUAUUUGAACUUUUACACUGCGACCCCUUGGGGUAAGAUUCCUGGAUCCGCCACUGAGUGGACCCCUUCUAAAAUUACAUGAUUUGAUAAUUUAAUUGCAUAAAUGAUUAGCAUGCCUACGGAUUUAUGAUUUGAUUUAUGUGAAGCCUGAUGAUUUAAUAUAUUGAUUAUCGUCUCGUGUUUUUGGUGAGGAAUUAAUUGUUGGCCUAUAUUGAGCUAUAUUUUAAUAUAUCGUAUUUUCUAUAAAAAUCAUGAACUGGUAGACUAUCUGAUUGAUGAUGAUAGGAUGCUAGAACAUGAUUUUGAACCCUCUUUAUAGCGUAGACGAUAAUCGGUAACCUAUGCUACGAAGUGGUAUUUAUGAGAGGCGUAAAUAUUUGUGCGUACCUAGUAGACACUAUGCAUGCCGCCUGGGGCGAGGAUCUGGUGUUGGCAUGUAGGCCGGGAGAAAUAAUCCCUAGCGAAAGGCUGAGGGACACGGAGACUGGCAUUGGGCCCGGGAGGGAGUUAUCUCUGGCUACGGGCACAGAGACUGAGGUGCGGGCAUUGGGCCGGGAGUUAUAUUUAUUCGGUGAUCUUACUAGCAGCACACCGCGUUUACGAGACGAUUUUACGAGAUGUUUUACGCGAUGAUUUAUAUGAUGUUUUCCGCGUUAUGGCUUUUGAGAUAUUUUUUGGCAUGCUAGGAUUUUUAUUAAAUCCAUCACUUAUUAUGCUAGUAGUUUUCAUUUAUAUAAACUUUGGGGGUUAGUAUCUUGAUAACUGUUUUAUUAUUAUUGUAUAUAAACUUGGUCCACUCACCUUUGUUUUGCGCCCCCAUUCAGGACUUAGAAUCAAGGCACCUAAUCCCGACGUGAAGACACUUCCGCAGCAGCAUCUUCGGAUCCUCUCGAUGUAGGACCCACUUCUUUAUUCAUUCAAUUUUAUCUCAAUUCUUUUUAGUGAUUAGGUUUAGUUGUAUGUUCUGAACACGUUCUUAAAAUUAUUAACUCUUAUUUAUUUCUUAUUCUUAGUUUUUGUAUCAAUUAAUGGCUUUCGUCACCCUCGGGUGUCGGCCAGCACGUGUCUAUCCUGGUAUUCGGGGAAUAUCAGGGUCGGGGCGUGUCAGAUUGGAACAUGUUCUUAAAAUUAUUAACUCUUAUUUAUUUCUUAUUCUUAGUUUUUGUAUCAAUUAAUGGCUUUCGUCACCCUCGGGUGUCGGCCAGCACGUGACCAUCCUGAUAUCCCGAAGAUAUCGGGAUCGGGACGUGUCAGAUUGGUAUCAGAGCGUGGUUUGUUCAGAGCAUACUUAGGAUUCUUUUCUAUUCUCUUAAAGUGUUGGUUUUGACAUCAUUUGGAUGUCACGACUUCCGGAUUUUGUGCCAGUCGGCGCAGUUGUGUGAAUCUCUCUCUGAUUGAAUUAUCACCUUUUAGUUGAAAUACAAGAAUUCGUGUCGGGAUUGUGCCUCAACAGUGAUGAAGUGGAUUGUUGGAUGACUUUCGACCUCGGAUCGAUACUCAGACGAUGUGUUUUAGAAAUCUCAAUUUGAAGAAUUCUGGUUAAGACCAGCUGUAGAUUCGAAAUGGCGAUGCCACUCUGCAACAUGCGUUCCCUAGGAAUUGCGGGCGGAGUCGGCUCUACAUCGAAAUCUUGAGAAACUCCUCGGCAGCAGACGCUAUUCUCAUCAAUUUCCAAAAUGAGUUGCAAUUCUUAUUGUUGUUAUAGUUGGACUUGGAUGAUGAAUAUCCAUUCUUGUUUGGAUAAACAGAUUCCUUGAAUUUCACCUGGGUUUGGUACUUGGUGGCAAACUCUAGUUCCUCGUCCGCGUACUUUUCGGGGAAGGUGAACUUAGUCUCUUGCUUACAACCUAAAUGUUCAGCCUUGUAAUUUUCAGUGUAAUGGCUUGAGACUCUAUCAUAUUCAUCAUUGUACGAAGAUCGAACUUUACUCUAAACUUCCCUGGACUCAUUGAGCUUUGGUUUGCUCAAAAGCAUCACUUUAAGGUAGCCAAUUGUGUCACUGCAUGCAUACGCAGGCUGCUUUGUAGCUUUCUUCUUCGUCAUUCUGCUGAUUCAGAGGUUCUAUGUUUAAUUUUUGAACUUUGAAACAGCUCUCACAAAGUAUUGUGAAUCCCGAAAUUUCUUUAGCCUCGUCAAAUUUUAUUAUCAGUCCUUAACUAUUAUUGAGCUUAGUCUUAUUUCCUUUUGACUAAGAAAUCAGUUGACCAUACUGUGAUGAUUUGCAAAAUAAUCAGAAACAGUGACUCUAUUUCUGCAUCUUUACCACCUUCUCGACAUGGCUUCUCGCCUAAUCAGUGAGAAAUCCACGAUCGAUCGUUUCGGUGAAAGUGGGCACCCAGUUCGUGUUGUUUUGGACAAGAAUGUUGGGAGCAUAAUCUUUUCACAAGCUUACCAAACUUAUCAUAAAGAGUUCAUUAUGGGUGUGAAGUUUGAGUUGUCCUUUGGUAGGAGACUGGUGAAGAUUUUGGUGCAGAAGGUCAGCAUAUUGUAUCACCAUCUCACUAGAAUUCAUAGGCAUCACAUCGGUUAUUUUCUAACGAUAUGUGUUCGUCUCAACGCAUAUUUCCACUGCUUCACUUCCGAACCUUAUUGUUGUGAGUACGUGGUUGUUAAAACACUUCUAGCAGAUUUGUUUGGUGCAUUCUGAGAUGGCACUACAGGACGGUCGAAGUGAGAAUUGGAUAAUCUUUACACUUCUCUGGAAAGGUGUGUACUCUCUUUUGUUUUUAGGUUGACCAUUUGCGAGUCGUUCUUCUUUCCACCAACUUUGGCCUUGUUUGACUUGAAAUCUGCAACUAAGCAAAAAUGGAGAGGUGGAUUGAGCACUACAACAGUUCCCAAGAGAUACUGCGUGUUGAGGAAGAUGACUUCUCAUUUUCUGCUUGCUUGGUUCGAGCUUUUGGGUCUACUACUAACAUGGUAGCCACUUCUCUUGAAUCCUAAGGUACAGUUUUCAAAUUGGUUCGUUGUUGGCAAAACACUGGAGUAGUUGGUCACAUUUGGAAGAACUGAGGAGGAUAGGAUGCUUGGUGCUGGAUAGAGUUUUACGACGACAGUUUCUGUUUUGUUCGGUUUUGUGUAUGGCACUUUUUACGACCUGGUACGAUAGUUUUUCAUGGACAACACUGGUUGACUGAAAAGUCUUGCGAACUUGUAUUUGGAGCAUCGAUCCUACGAUAUGUGAAAUUGUACACCAUUUGAGAAAUUACUACUUGCCUAUCGAGACAACAAAUGUGAGGUCGAUAUUGCGGGCUGCAGACUGUGAUAUCGAUAGCUUAUUUGGUGGGUUCGUUAAGCAAGUGGGCAAGAAGAUUCGUCUACAGCAGCUGAUGCAGAUUCAGAAUUUGUAUUUCUUGGGACUCGACCUAAAGGCACAUCUAUUCUCGGAAUAUAUGACAUUUCGAAUUCUUGGGCGAGACCCACUCUCAUUUUUCAGUUUUGGUUUUCAGUGUAAGUAUUUUAACUUCAUUUACUCUAGUUAAUUAUUUUGACGUUACAAAUGUUUUUGGAAAAGUAUUUCUGUUUUCAUUUUUAAGUUGAUUCGAGUUUUUGAACUAUAUGUCAGUACAUAUCUAUUUUGACGUUAUCUGGCCUUAAGCUAUUUUGUGUUUUCAACUUUAUAUUUUAUUAAAGUAUGUGUUCUAUUUUUACACUGAUGAAAAAAAAAAAAAAAAAAAAAAAGUUUGAGCCUGGAGGCACGAAAGAUGGAAUCAUUGCAGCCGAUCGCGACGGCGUGGCAUUUUCCCUUUUGUGAAACCGCUCUUACCUGAUCUCUUCGUUACAUAUAUAUAUAUUAUUCUUCUUCCUAUUUUCAAGUAUUUUCGGUGUAGUAUGUUGUUUUAAAUUUCGAGGACGAAAUUUUUUUAUAAGGGUGGUAGAUUAAAACACCCCAACCCUCUUUUAUAUUUUAAAAUUGUUUUAAAGCCUUAAUUGGUGAGCCCGUGGAGCCCACCUUGUUUAUUUUUUUAUGUUUUCUGAUCUCUCUCUUCCUUCUUCUUCGUCUCUCUCCCCCGUAACUCUCCCUUAGCUCUCUCCUUCUCAGCUCUCCCGUCUCUCUCUCCCUCAACCUCUCGCAUCUCUCUCUUCCCCUGGACUCACUAGGACCGAGUCACCAUCGAAGAGAGGCUCGCAACGAACCCCGGACCCUGCCCUGCGAGUUCGACGGCACGGAGUAAGCUUCGGCAAGCACCGCCCCUUUCGAGGCCAUUUCCGGCCAAACCACGGCGAGUUGGUCGGCGUGUAAGGUAUC
rnacentral:lncRNA from 1 species